rnacentral:ncRNA from 1 species
GAGAGCUUGAGCCGGUGGACGUUUGCAGAUGUGACCUUGUCUUCCAACCGCCACACCCGUGCGGAGAAGGCAGGGCACAUCAAGCGAAUGUUCUGAGAUUAUACGGCAGAACUUGAUUAUCUGGAUAAUACCAGCGAAAGAAUCAUGCUUUCAUUGCGA